UGACCAAAAUUUUCUUUUCUUUUUCAAAAGUAUAUCCCCAGUCAUAAAGUACCCUUCUGCAAAUUGUCUCAUGAUGCCAAAUACCUUGAGGCCAUUCCACAAUCAAAUAGUUACCUGAUUAUUGCAUUGCAGAAUGAAUUAACUAAAUGUGGAAUCUUAAAGAAUCAGGAAGAUUAUGAAAACUUUUGGAAACUCACCCAGGAGGGUGUUUGUGAUUCAGAGCUCAAAGAAAUGCUUCCAGAUUUAAAAGCAAAAAUGCUUGCUAUUAAGCCUUCACCUCUCUCUAGUUCAGCAAGAACCCAUCCAGUAAAACAUCAUAAGAGCUUUACAAACAUCAACAGGCUGGAAAAUG